rnacentral:tRNA from 1 species
GCGCCAUUAGCUCAGUUGGCAGAGCAGAGGACUUUUAAUCCUAAGGUCGUAGGUUCGAUUCCUACAUGGCGCACCA